ACCAGACUCCUACGGGAGGCAGCAGUGAGGAAUAUUGGUCAAUGGGCGGGAGCCUGAACCAGCCAAGCCGCGUGAAGGAAGAAGGCGCCAGGCGUCGUAAACUUCUUUUGUCGGGGAACAAAGGGCGCCACGCGUGGCGUUGUGAGUGUACCCGAAGAAAAAGCAUCGGCUAACUACGUGCCAGCAGCCGCGGUAAUACGUAGGUGGCAAGCGUUGUCCGGAUUUACUGGGUGUAAAGGGCGUGCAGCCGGAGAGACAAGUCAGAUGUGAAAUCCACGGGCUCAACCCGUGAACUGCAUUUGAAACUGUUUCCCUUGAGUGUCGGAGAGGUAAGCGGAAUUCCUUGUGUAGCGGUGAAAUGCGUAGAUAUAAGGAAGAACACCAGUGGCGAAGGCGGAUUACUGGACGAUAACUGACGGUGAGGCGCGAAAGCGUGGGGAGCAAACAGGAUUAGAUACCCCGGUA
rnacentral:rRNA from 1 species